CCGAAGACACAUUGGUUUUCGCACUCUAACUUUAGUUUAAGUGAAUGGAUCUUUUUGAAAUUUGACCAUAAGGUUAAAAACCACAAAAGGAAGGUUGGGAUUGAUUUUGGGGGUUAUGGUACCAACAGUUAAGGAAUUAGGGGCCAAAAAGGGGCCAAAAAUAAGCAUUUUCUAGUUUCCAGACAAUAACUGUGGAACGGUGUAUGGAUCUCUCUGAAAUUAUACUACAAGUUUCCAUACCACAAAGGGAUGGUUAGGAUUUGCUUUGGGGGGUUAUGGCUCAAACCGUUUAGGAAUUAGGGGCAAAAAAGGGGGAAAAACAAGGUUGUCCUGGUUAAUGGACAAAUACUUUAGUACAAAACAUAAUUUAAAGCAGUGUAAGGGAGAUAAAUCAAAUACAUCAUUGAAAUUAUCUCCCUUACACUGCUUUUAAAUUAUGUAUAAAGUAAUGGUUAAUGAACAAUAAAGAUAAUUUAAAACAGUGUAAGGGAGGUAAUCCAAAUACAACGUUUUGGUUACUUCCCUUACACUGCUUUUAAAUUAUGUUUAAAGAAAUGCAUAUAUAUAAAGGAAGACCAGAAAAAAAUAUCUGCAAAUGUUGUAUCUUUUUUUUUUACAAAAAAAUCCAUAUGAAAGAUUUGACACUAUAUUUUUAAUUCUAUUAUAAAAUAGAUUAAGUUAGCACUAUGGUAAAUUUAAAUGGGUAAUUAUGGUUGCCAACUCCAUUGGAAAUUUGAAUUGAGAUUAUGACCAUAUCUUGAGGGAAAGAAUUUUGUUGGGGAAAAAAGGUGGGGAUAAAAAGAAAUUGUGGGGGGUCAAUUUUUUCUCAUUUCAGAUUUCAGAAAUUAAAAAAAUUAUUCUUCAAAUAUUUGAAAAAUUUCAAGAAGAAAUCUUUAAUUUCACAGUAUGGCGCAUUAGAUUUGUAAAAUCUUUGAUCACGUUUAUUUAUUUGUUAUGCCGAAUCCAACAGUGUAUUUAGAUUUUUAAUUUUGGGUCCAGUUUUCAAAUUGGUCUACAUUAAGGUCCAAAGGGUCCAAAAUUAAACUUUGUUUGAUUUUAGCAAAAAUUGAAUAUAUGACAUUCUUUGAUAUGCUGAAUCUAAACAUGUAUUUAGAUUUUUGAUUUUUGGCCCAGUUUUCAAGUUGGUCCAAAUUGGGGUCCAAAAUUAAACUUUGUUUGAUUUCAACAAAAAUUGAAUAUAUGGGGUUCUUUGAUAUGCUGAAUCUAACCAUGUAUUUAGAUUUUUUAUUUGUGGACCCCGUUAUCAAAUUGGUUCAUAUUGAGGUCAAAAGGGUCCAAAAUUAAACUUUGUUUGAUUUCAUCUAAAAUUGAAUUAUUGGGGUUCUUUGAUAUUCCAAAUCUAACCGUGUAUUUAGAUUUUUAAUUUUGGGUCCUGUUUUUAAAUUGGUCUACAUUAAGGUCCAAAGGGUCCAAAAUUAAACUUAGUUAAAUUUUAACAAAAAUUGAAUUCUUGGGGUUCUUUGAUAUGCUGAAUCUAAACAUGUGUUUAGAUUUUUGAUUAUGGGCCCAGUUUUCAAGUUUGUCCAAGAUAGGGUCCAGUAUUUAAACUAUGUUUGAUUUCAACAAAAAUUGAAUAUAUGGGGUUCUUUGAUAUGCUGAAUCUAAACAUGUAUUUAGAUUUUUGAUUAUGGGCCCAGUUUUCAAGUUGGUCCAAAUUGGGGUCCAAAAUUAAACUUUGUUUGAUUUCAACAAAAAUUGAAUAUAUGAGGUUCUUUGAUAUGCUGAAUCUAACCAUGUAUUUAGAUUUUUUAUUUGUAUGCCCCGCUAUCAAAUUGGUUCAUAUUGAGGUCAAAAGGGUCCAAAAUUAAACUUUGUUUGAUUUCAUCAAAAAUUGAAUUAUUGGGGUUCUUUGAUAUGCCAAAUCUAACCGUGUUUUUAGAUUUUUAAUUUGGGUCCCGUUUUUUAAAUUGGUCUUCAUUAAGGUCCAAAGGGUCCAAAAUUAAACUUAGUUUGAUUUUAACAAAAAUUGAAUUGUUGGGGUUCUUUGAUAUGCUGAAUCUAAACAUGUGUUUAGAUUUUUGAUUAUGGGCCCAGUUUUCAAGUUGGUCCAAGUUGGGGUCCAAAAUUAAACUUUUUUUGAUUUCAACAAAAAUUGAAUAUAUGGGGUUCUUUGAUAUGCUGAAUCUAACCAUGAAUUUAGAUUUUUUAUUUGUGGGCCCCGCUAUCAAAUUGGUUCAUAUUGAGGUCAAAAGGGUCCAAAAUUAAACUUUGUUUGAUUUCAUUUAAAUUGAAUUAUUGGGGUUCUUUGAUAUUCCAAAUCUAACCGUGUAUUUAGAUUUUUAAUUUUGGGUCCUGUUUUUUAAAUUGGUCUACAUUAAGGUCCAAAGGGUCCAAAAUUAAACUUAGUUUGAUUUUAACAAAAAUUGUGAAUUCUUGGGGUUAUUUGAUAUGCUGAAUCUAAACAUGUGUUUAGAUUUUUGAUUAUGGGCCCAGUUUUCAAGUUGGUCCAAGAUAGGGUCCAGUAUUUAAACUUUGUUUGAUUUCAACAGAAAUUGAAUAUGUGGGGUUCUUUGAUAUGCUGAAUCUAAACAUGUAUUUAGAUUUUUGAUUAUGGGCCCAGUUUUCAAGUUGGUCCAAAUUGGGGUCCAAAAUUAAACUUUGUUUGAUUUCAACAAAAAUUGAAUAUAUGAGGUUCUUUGAUAUGCUGAAUCUAACCAUGUAUUUAGAUUUUUUAUUUGUAUGCCCCGCUAUCAAAUUGGUUCAUAUUGAGGUCAAAAGGGUCCAAAAUUAAACUUUGUUUGAUUUCAUCAAAAAUUGAAUUAUUGGGGUUCUUUGAUAUGCCAAAUCUAACCGUGUAUUUAGAUUUUUAAUUUUAAGUCCCGUUUUUUAAAUUGGUCUACAUUAAGGUCCAAAGGGUCCAAAAUUAAACUUAGUUUGAUUUUAGCAAAAAUUGAAUUCUUGGGGUUAUUUGAUAUGCUGAAUCUAAACAUGUGUUUAGAUUUUUAAUUAUGGGCCCAGUUUUCAAGUUUGUCCAAGUUGGGGUCCAAAAUUAAACUUUGUUUGAUUUUAACAAAAAUUGAAUGUAUGGGGUUCUUUGAUAGGCUGAAUCUAACCAUGUAUUUUGAUUUUGGACAUUGGACCAUAAUAGGUAAAUUAAAAAAAAUCAAGUUCUUAGACCACAUUCUUUCUGUGUCAGAAACCUAUGCUGUGUCAAAUAUUUAAUAACAAUCCAAAUUCAGAGCUGUAUCAAGCUUGAAUGUUGUGUCCAUACUUGCCCCAACUGUUCAGGGUUCGACCUCUGCGGUCAUAUCAAGCUGCGCCCCAGCGAAGCAUUUUAUUGCUUAUUAUCUUGGAAAUUAUAAUAGAUAAGUACAUGAAUAUUGAAAUUAAAAUGGCAAUAUUUAACAUGUAAACUAUGCAACACAUUCAAAGUCAAUGAACCAUGGAUGAAGGUGAAGGACCAAAUAACCUCCAUGGAAAUAAGAAAUGUCAAUGCUUAUGAUGCAUUCUUGAAGGCUGUAGUGUGAACUAUAGGUGUUAGCUUCUAUUGCAUUUGGUCUUUGGUGGAGUGUUGUCUAAUUGGCAAUCAUACCACAUCUUAUUGUUAUACAAACUUUUAACAGCAAAUAUGAAGAUCUACAAAAAUGGCAGUAUGACCAAAACCAUUGAAUAACUUAAAGUAGGAGUUAUUGUCCUUAAAAGACAAUUAUUUUACUAAUUUUUGGGUUUUUGCCUAUAAUCUUGAAAAAGUAAUAGAUAAGUAAAACUGGAAACUGCAAAAAUUAACAGCAAGACAAGCAAGAUCUACAAGAAUGCCAAUAUGACUAAAACCAUUGCCUGACCCCUUUUUGGAAGGAAAUGCCCUUUAAAUGAAGUUUUUAUGCCCCCGCCGUAGAGGAGGGGGCAUUAAGUUUUACCUUUGUCCGUUUGUACGUCCAUCCUUCUGUACUUGCGUCCCAAAAUUGGUUUCUGUUCUCUAACUUUAGUUUGCCUCAUCAAAUUUUAUGAAACUUAUACACAAUGCUUAUUAACACAAAACACAGAUCAAGUUUGAAAUUUGGUGGCAUUAUUUUUACCGUUCUAGAGUUAUGCCCUUCAAAAUGGAAAAUUGCUGAAUUUUCAUUUCCAGUCUCUUUCUUUAGUUUGCCUCAACCAAAUGUUAUGAAACUUAUGCACAAUGCUUAUUACCACAAAACACAGAUCAAGGUUGAAUUUUGGUGGCGCCACUUUUACCAUUCUAGAGUUAUGCCCCUUUCCUAAUGGAAAAAUAUCUGUUUGUUCUCUAACUUUAGUUUGACUCAACCAAAUGUUAUGAAACUUAUAUACAAUGCUUAUUACUUCAAAACUCAGAUCAAGUACAAAUUUGGGUAACAGCCCUUUUACCAUUCUUGAGUUAUGUCCCUUUAUAAUGUUUUAUGCAAGCGGGGGCAUCAUCUGUGUGCCAUGGAAACAUUCCCCAUUUAUUUUCUCAUACUUUUGAGUUUUUGCCUAUUAUCUCUAAAUAAAACUAUGGAGGAACUGAAAACAGGGAAAGUGACCAUCAAUACACCAAUACUAGAUCUAUAAAAAUGCCAAUAUGACCAAAUCCAUUGCAUGACAUUGGAUGAGUUCUUUGCAAAAUAUGAAGUUUUGAAUUCUUACACAUGCAGGGAUAUAUACAUUCUGUAGCUUAAAAUAUAUGUGAAAUAAUGACCAAGGUAUUUAGAGACUGUUUACUGUUUGAUUGGCUGUAAUUGCAUUUUAAAAUGUAACAUAAGAUAUUUUGUAUUUUUGUUCAUACAAUUUUUCCAAAAUAAAGGAGAUUUUUAGUUGUUUUAAAA